rnacentral:rRNA from 1 species
AAUAUUUGACAAUGGGCGCAAGCCUGAUCCAGCCAUGCCGCGUGAGUGUUGAAGGCCCUAGGGUUGUAAAGCUCUUUCACCGGUGAAGAUAAUGACGGUUACCGGAAAAGUAGCCCCGGCUAUCUUCGUGCCAGCAGCCGCGGUAAUACGAAGAGGGCUAGCGUUGUGUUGAAUUACUGGGCGUAAAGCGCACGUAGGCGGAUCGGUCAGUUAGAGGUGAAAUCCCGGGGCUCAACCCCGGAACUGCCUUUAAUACUGCCGGUCUAGAGUCCGAGAGAGGUGAGUGGAAUUCCGAGUGUAGAGGUGAAAUUCGUAGAUAUUCGGAGGAACACCAGUGGCGAAGGCGGCUCACUGGCUCGGUACUGACGCUGAGGUGCGAAAGCGUGGGGAGCAAACAG